rnacentral:rRNA from 1 species
UACAGAGGUCCCGAGCGUUGUCCGGAUUUAUUGGGCGUAAAGGGUGCGUAGGCGGCGGAGUAAGUUGGGUGUGAAAUCCCGGGGCUCAACCUCGGAAUGGCAUUCAAUACUGCUUCGCUCGAGUACUGGAGAGGAGGCUGGAAUUUACGGUGUAGCAGUGAAAUGCGUAGAUAUCGUAAGGAAGGCCGGUGGCGAAAGCGAGCCUCUGGACAGUUACUGACGCUGAUGCACGAAGGCCAGGGGAGCAAACGGG